rnacentral:rRNA from 1 species
UGCCAGUUACUAACAGGUGAAGCUGAGGACUCUGGCGGAACUGCCGGUGACAAACCGGAGGAAGGUGGGGAUGACGUCAAGUCAUCAUGGCCCUUAUGUCCAGGGCUACACACGUGCUACAAUGGGUGAGACAGAGUGACGCGAAGCCGCGAGGUGGAGCAAAUCGCAGAAAAUCAUCCGUAGUUCGGAUUGGAGUCUGAAACCCGACUCCAUGAAGGUGGAAUCGCUAGUAAUCGCGCAUCAGCAUGGCGCGGUGAAUACGUUCCCGGGCCUU